AUAAAAUAAUUGUCUUGUAUCAUUACAAAGGUAUUACUCUAACACUAGAAGAUGAUCUCAAGGGGGAAAAAGCCACAGAGAUUGGAUCUAUGUUGUUUACUAGAAACGUAUCUGGAACAAGAGUGGUGGCUCCAGGCAAAGAUGCUGAAGUUAGUGGUCAUCUCUUUAAAAACUUUGGUUCUCACAGCAAUAACUAUCCAUGUUCUUAUCUGACUGCUGCAGCAUCUAUAGGUAUAACCAAAGAAGAUGUGGAUGUAUUUGUCAACCGCUUAGAAAAAGUAUUCUUAAAAAUCAAAUCGAAAAAAAGCGAAAAUAUUCCUUUAAUUCAAAAAGAUGGUGAAAUUCUUCAACCUGAGCAUAAAGCGGAUCAUGUGGAUGCUGUCAGAUAAUUAACAAUGUUUUAGUAUUGUUAAAAUUUUGUAAAAAGCAGUAUCUUUCAAAGACUAGGUUAAUCAUCAAUUUUAUCAGUCCUUUGAAAAUGUAUUGACUGAUAUGCUACAUUUACAUGGCUUUCAGUAUUUUCAAUAGUAGGUCUAUAUCACCAUGUCCAGUAGUUUUGUUGCCUUCAUAAUGGUGGGUGAUAAUGUCAGAUGAAAAUAUUGUUUAAUUGCAAGUUUACUUUUUAAAAAGAAUAAGUGAAACAUUUGAAUCAACAUUAAAAAGUAAAAAAAAAUGUAAAGAGCAUUAGAAAUGAGAACAAAAAAAAAGCAUCCCAAAUGAUAUUGAUAAAGGAGUUAUUUGAUACUGGUGUGAUCUGAUGGUUUACUAAAAAAAUAGUAA
rnacentral:sRNA from 1 species